rnacentral:rRNA from 1 species
GAGGAAUCUUGGUCAAUGGACGCAAGUCUGAACCAGCCAUGUCGCGUGAAGGAGGACGGCCCUAAGGGUUGUAAACUUCUUUUGCAGCGGAAUAAAGUUUGCCACGAGUUGGCGAUUUGCAAGUACGCUGCGAAUAAGGAUCGGCUAACUCCGUGCCAGCAGCCGCGGUAAUACGGAGGAUCCAGGCGUUAUCCGGAUUUAUUGGUUUAAAGGGUGCGCAGGCGGGGAAUUAGGUCGGCGGUGAAAUUUCGGGGCUCAACCCCGACAGUGCCGUUGAAACCGUUUCUCUUGAGUGCGGAUGAGGUAGGCGGAAUUUGUGGUGUAGCGGUGAAAUGCGUAGAUAUCACAAGGAACACCGAUUGCGGAGGCAGCUUACUAAACCGUUACUGACGCUCAUGCACGAAGGCGUGGGGAUCAAAC